rnacentral:rRNA from 1 species
AUUGAACGCUGGCGGCAGGCUUAACACAUGCAAGUCGAGCGGGGAAGGGUAGCUUGCUACCUAACCUAGCGGCGGACGGGUGAGUAAUGCUUAGGAAUCUGCCAUUUAGUGGGGGACAACAUUCCGAAAGGAAUGCUAAUACCGCAUACGUCCUACGGGAGAAAGCAGGGGAUCUUCGGACCUUGCACUAAAUGAUGAGCCUAAGUCGGAUUAGCUAGUUGGUGGGGUAAAGGCCUACCAAGGCGACGAUCUGUAGCGGGUCUGAGAGGAUGAUCCGCCACACUGGGACUGAGACACGGCCCAGACUCCUACGGGAGGCAGCAGUGGGGAAUAUUGGACAAUGGGCGGAAGCCUGAUCUAGCCAUGCCGCGUGUGUGAAGAAGGCCUUAUGGUUGUAAAGCACUUUAAGCGAGGAGGAGGCUACCUAGAUUAAUACUCUAGGAUAGUGGACGUUACUCGCAGAAUAAGCACCGGCUAACUCCGUGCCAGCCGCCGCGGUAACAC